GUGGGGAAUUUUGGACAAUGGGCGCAAGCCUGAUCCAGCAAUGCCGCGUGCAGGAAGAAGGCCUUCGGGUUGUAAACUGCUUUUGUACGGAACGAAACGGUCCGGGUUAAUACCCUGGGCUAAUGACGGUACCGUAAGAAUAAGCACCGGCUAACUACGUGCCAGCAGCCGCGGUAAUACGUAGGGUGCAAGCGUUAAUCGGAAUUACUGGGCGUAAAGCGUGCGCAGGCGGUUUUGUAAGACAGGCGUGAAAUCCCCGGGCUCAACCUGGGAAUGGCGCUUGUGACUGCAAAGCUGGAGUGCGGCAGAGGGGGAUGGAAUUCCGCGUGUAGCAGUGAAAUGCGUAGAUAUGCGGAGGAACACCGAUGGCGAAGGCAAUCCCCUGGGCCUGCACUGACGCUCAUGCACGAAAGCGUGGGGAGCAAACAGGAUUAGAUACCCCGGUAGUCC
rnacentral:rRNA from 1 species